AUACGUAGGUGGCAAGCGUUGUCCGGAAUUAUUGGGCGUAAAGCGCGCGCAGGCGGUCCUUUAAGUCUGAUGUGAAAGCCCACGGCUCAACCGUGGAGGGUCAUUGGAAACUGGGGGACUUGAGUGCAGAAGAGGAAAGUGGAAUUCCAAGUGUAGCGGUGAAAUGCGUCGAGAUUUGGAGGAACACCAGUGGCGAAUGCGACUUUCUGGUCUGUAACUGACGCUGAGGCGCGAAGGCGUGGGGAGCAAACAGGAUUAGAUAGCCUGGUAGUCCACGCCGUAAACGAUGAGUGCUAAGUGUUAGGGGGUUUCCGCCCCUUAGUGCUGCAGCUAACGCAUUAAGCACUCCGCCUGGGGAGUACGGUCGCAAGACUGAAACUCAAAGGAAUUGACGGGGG
rnacentral:rRNA from 1 species